GUGCCAGCCGCCGCGGUAAUACCGGCAGCACGAGUGAUGGCCGAUAUUAUUGGGCCUAAAGCGUCCGUAGCUGGCCACACAAGUCCGUUGGGAAAUCGACGUGCCUAACGCGUCGGCGUCCAGCGGAAACUGUCUGGCUUGGGACCGGAAGACCCGAGGGGUACGUCCGGGGUAGGAGUGAAAUCCCGUAAUCCUGGACGGACCACCGGUGGCGAAAGCGCCUCGGGAAGACGGAUCCGACAGUGAGGGACGAAAGCUGGGGUCUCGAACCGGAUUAGAAACCCGGGUAGUCC
rnacentral:rRNA from 1 species